rnacentral:miRNA from 1 species
UUUAGAAUAAGCUUGACUUUUG